rnacentral:tRNA from 1 species
UAGCUCAGUGGUAGAGCGCAUGCUUAGCAUGCAUUGGGUCCUGGUUUCAAUUCCCAG